CCAACAUAGAUGAGGAAAGUCCGGACAACGUAGAGCACCACACCAUCUAACGGAUGGGCUUCGGUACUUGUAUCGGGGACAGAAAGUGUCACAGAAAACUAUACCGCCGAUGUUGCUACCUCGUGUAGUAGCAGGUAAGGGUGAAAUCGUGCGGUAAGAGCGCACGCAUUGCCUUAGCAAUAGGGUAGUGGGAUAAACCUUGUGGGUUGAAAUGCCAUGUACACUUCGAUCCUCCUUAGGGAGGUCCGGGUAGCUCGCCUGGUUUACUUCGGUAAGUCGGAGGGGGUAGGCAGAUUGAUUCUGGUCGUGAGGCCAGAACUAGAUAAAUGACAGGAGGGGCUACGGCUCCUGACAGAAUCCGGCUUAUAGCUC
rnacentral:RNase_P_RNA from 1 species